UGCCAGGACCAAAAGAAUUAAAAUUUGAUUUUUCUUUGAGAAAGCGUAGGCGUUGUCCAGGGAAGAUUUGAAUACCAUCUUCUUCAAAUUAAAGUAAAAGAAUGAAAA